GCCCGGGUGGCGAAAUCGGCAGACGCGGCGGACUUAAAAUCCGUUACUCGAAAGGGUGUGUGGGUUCAAGUCCCACCCCGGGCA
rnacentral:tRNA from 1 species